AAGCUGAACCUCAUCUGCAAAAUGCUGAGGAAGCCAAGGGGAGGCAGACAGUGGAGCAUAACUGAAAGACCAAGCAAGCAGCGGAGAAAGGAAAAGAAGGUAUUUCGUCUCGAGAGAAAAGUAAAAGUAACCAAGACAGACAACAAAAAUGUUUAUACACUCAAAAAGCUGGAAGAAAAGAUUACAAAAGUGUUCACUAUAAACUUUGUGGGAGAAGUGCUGGGAUGGAAGUGCUACACCACUGAGCUACACCAUCACCCCCAAUGCAGUAGCUAAGCCACCGGUACAGGUAUGAGUACCAGGACCAUCAGCUCUGCCAGAAGCCAACAUUAACUUCCAGAGUCACGCCCUGAACAGUAUGGGAAUCAUCUCUCAGACUGCCCAACUUCCCUAGGCACCCUCUCCACACAGCCCACCCUAAACCACAACCUCACCCAGGCCAGCCCAGACACCACACAAAAGCCAGAGUAUUCGCAGAUAAUUUAUUCAGAAUUUUAAUAUAAACAAGUAAUUAUCCCAUAUUUUACAUGCACAAAAAAUUUCAAUCCCCCUCCCUCUAAAAAAGGCAUAGUCUGUACAUGGUGCUACUUGGCUCUUGUAGGAAAACAUUGAAAAAUAGUAAUAAUGGAGCUUUGGGUGGGCUUUGUGUUUCUGAAUUAUUUUUCUGCAAAAGCUGCGGCACAUUGGAUCCCGCGCUGCUGACACGCAGGGCUGAGGCCACCCACGCACACAAAAGGGCAAAGAGCAGCAACUUUGACACAACGUGUGAAGACCACACAAGCCAUUCCUGAAUAUAUGCAUCUAUGCACACUCAUCUGGGAGCUAUCCCUUCCUUCUCCACAGGGACCAAGAGCCCUAGAUUCGUGAUCUGGUUUUUAUCAAGGAUUUUGGUGGCCCAUGCUGAGAUAAAAUUUGGCUGGAGCCUGGUUCUGGAUUUUGAUGAUUAGCAGAAAGUGACAAUAAACUAAAAAAAAAAAAAAAUCAUUACAUCUCCCCAUGUGUUAGGGACCCCUGAAGACACAUUUGCCUUCUGUCACAACUCCUCAUAUUUUUGUGUGUUUUCUAAACAAUUAUCGGUCUGUUCUUCCAUUUUCCAAUCUCACCUCUGCUGCAAAUCAGCAUUCUGAAAUGGUGCUAUUCUUUGUGCACCCGUUAUAUAAAAAUCAGCAUUCCUCUUUCCCCAAUACCAACAAAUCCGUAAUUGCUAAAGAGCCUAAGUAUCAAGGACUCACCAGAUGGUACCCAUAUACACUGAACCCCAAAGUUCUACCCACCAUGCAGCAGAAGAGUAACUCUUGUUGGGACUAUGGUACAUCCAUUCAUUUGCCAGGGUGGCCAGCACAGGCUGGGUCCUUAUGAUGAAACUGGCCAGUGUCCAGUGUCACAAAGGGAUGAAAUAAACAGCACCCAACCUAAUACAUGCAUCUCACAGUGCCCUGGCAGGACAGAGCAGAAGAUCUGUCCAUCGGCUGGUGGCAGAAUUCCCAGCAGCCACAGCAUUUUACAUGCAGACCCUUGCAACGGUUCCCACCUGUUCAGUCAGUUGUGCCCAGCCUGUAUCCAGAGAACCAGCAAUGCUUCCCCUUUGUACUAACUUCAAAUGACCGGACAGCACCUAGGACAGCUGCCCCCAAAAUGAGUAUUUCCUAGUAUUGGAUGACAUCACUGAUCCAUGGAGAAAAGCAAUGUCUGGCAUUCUUCUCCCAGAAGAAGAAACUACUACAUCAUGGGUCUCACGUUAAGGGAAAAUGUUUUAUAGGAGUGAGCCUUCUUUAAAAAACCAACAGGAAAUGUCAACCUAAUCUGAUCUUGUUGCUUUUUUUUUUUUUUUUUGUAACCCCUUACACAAACUCCCAAGAAACCUGUGCCUUUCUACAGCCAAAGUUCUGUUGUUUCCAAAACGAACAAUUCCUGACGCUAAAAGGAAAUGCGUUGUCCUUCAACUGCUUGGUCUUUUCCAUGCAGUAGUAGACGUCCGAGUGUAAUCAGUGAAGCCCCAUCUGCACAGGGUGGGACCAGCGCACCACUACUCUCCAGGGCAGCUGAAGAAGGGUGAGCCUGAAGGGCAGCGU